AGAGUCGGCCGGGCAACCGCUGCGCCGGGGACCGCGGUCCCGGCGGCGCAGAGGAAAGUCCGGGCUCCGCAAGGCAGGGUGCCAGGUAACGCCUGGGAGGCGCGAGCCUACGGAAAGUGCCGCAGAAAAUAUACCGCCUCGCGUCCUGCGCGAGGUAAGGGUGAAAAGGUGCGGUAAGAGCGCACCGCGCCGGCAGCAAUGCCGGCGGCAGGGCAAACCCCACCCGGAGCAAGACCGAAUAGGGGAACCGCCGAUUCCUUCGGCAGGCGCCGCCUGCGCCGCGUUCCCGGGUAGGUCGCGGGAGACAUGCGGCGACGCAUGUCCCAGAUGGAUGGUUGCCGCCGCCUCGUUUUGGGGCGGUACAGAACCCGGCUUACAGGCCGACUCUCCAC
rnacentral:RNase_P_RNA from 1 species